CGAUAGUGAACCAGUACCGUGAGGGAAAGGCGAAAAGAACCCCGGCGAGGGGAGUGAAAAAGAACCUGAAACCGUGUACGUACAAGCAGUGGGAGCCCCACCACUAAGCCAGUGGUGAACUCCACAUACGCAUCCUUUGCUGAGGAUACGGUUAACGGAGCGAAAGCGACGUUCAACCGCAAAAGAAGCAGAGGGGGCUUAGUGGUGGGGUGACUGCGUACCUUUUGUAUAAUGGGUCAGCGACUUAUAUUCUGUAGCAAGGUUAACCGAAUAGGGGAGCCGGAGGGA
rnacentral:rRNA from 1 species